ACUCGACAGAACACCGGGCAGGGACAACAACCGAGCGCUGCGGCAACGUUUCAGGUCACAGUGAGGAGCUCUGUCUGCCAGCCCUGGUCUCUGCUUUGACUCUGCUCCCACACUGGAUAAGAGAUGUUAUCCAGCAGCACUCUGAGAGUUCCCACAUUAUGACCCAUCACACGAUAGUCAAAGGUGAGGCAGAAGCUGCCCUGCUGGGUCCGAUCACUGAGGAGCAACUUAAGCCUGGCUACAUCAUCCUGCUCCCCUAUGAGACCACUCAUGAUCAUGUAGUACUCAGGGCCAUCUCCUGAGGGGGUUGCAGAACACUGAAAUUGUUUGCUUGUUCUACAAAUCAAAGUCAGAACACUUCCAACCUGGGCCAUGCUUACUCUUUUUUCUACAAAAUACAUAAUUCUUCCAGGGCACUAUUUCAGCUGCCUACCAUUGGUCAAUACUCAUAUCCAGACGCUGUGUAGAAACGAGGAAAAUCUCUCUGACUAUGCUGUAUGGUUACUACAUCAUGGACCACCCGAAACAUCAACAACAGGCUCACUGCUACAGAGCCAAACAGGAGUACACUUACUGAAAACAUCUCCCCUUGGAUUGAGCUGGUUGUCUUCCACUUCCUCCUCCUCCUCUUCUUCCUCCUCAGGAAAUUUCUCCUCCCGUCUCUGCUCGGUCUGGGAGCCAACAUAGACCUCUCCAUCAUAGUCGAAAGGCUGCUGACGGAUCCUGGGAGGCUGCGUGGCAACUGGUUCGGGGAUUACAUUUUUGAUGUCCUCAUUGUCUUGCUUCGGCCUCACUUGGGAGUCUGGUAUGGCUGCAGGCAGGAAGAGGAAUCAGAGAAGACAUGUGGAAACACGAUCAUGAGCAGGAAGUACAGUAUUUUACAAGGAUUCUGGAUGUGUUCGUCGUUUGUUGUCAUCUAUUUCGCAGCUGCUGUUCUUCUACUCCAUGCAGAGGGUCAUGCUGAGGAUUCCAGGUCUUCUAUCAAGCUGUGGACGUACAACACUUUCAGCCAUAAGCAUGGGUUACAGUUUGAGGAGGUGAUCUUAAAAGAAGCUACGAGGAGAUAAAGAAAAAGGUAGCAGGGCAGGUAGCGAACGACGGCAACAGAAGCUUGGAUCCACACAAUCUCACCAUUGAGGAAAUCAUCUGCACUUCCUUUGUCUCCAUCCCACGGCCUCUGAUAAAACGGCUUGACUACAGAAAAAUAAAGGCAUCUUCAUUUGA